rnacentral:lncRNA from 1 species
GGGGUCUCAGCUCCUACUUCAUUCUACGGCCGAGACCGGAGGAUGUUCCCUGCUCAGGAGGAGGCCGACAGGACCGUGUUUGUUGGGAAUUUAGAGGCCCGAGUUCGGGAAGAGAUUCUGUACGAGCUGUUCCUUCAGUUUCUUAUAGGCGGGGCCACUAACCAAAGUGACUAUAUGCAAAGACAGAGAAGGAAAGCCAAAGUCUUUUGGAUUUGUCUGCUUUAAACACCCAGAAUCGGUGUCUUAUGCCAUAGCUUUGCUGAAUGGAAUUCGUUUAUAUGGAAGACCAAUUAACGUGCAGUAUCGAUUUGGGAGUUCUCGCUCUUCUGAACCAGCUAACCAAAGUUUUGAGAGCUGUGUUAAGAUAAAUUCACACAACUACAGGAAUGAAGAAAUGUUGGUGGGCAGAUCUUCCUUUCCCAUGCAGUAUUUUCCAAUUAAUAAUACUUCUUUACCUCAAGAAUAUUUUCUCUUUCAGAAGAUGAUGAAUGUCUUGUUUUCACAGCAGUGGCAUGUGUAUAAUCCAGUGCUGCAGCUUCCUUACUAUGAAAUGACAGCUCCACUUCCUAAUAGUGCAUCCGUGUCUUCCUCACUGAAUCAUGUUCCAGAUCUUGAGGCUGGACCCAGCUCAUAUAAAUGGACUCACCAACAACCAAGUGACUCUGACCUUUAUCAGAUGA